AUUGAACGCUGGCGGCAUGCUUUACACAUGCCAGUCGAACGGCAGCGCGGGCUUCGGCCUGGCGGCGAGUGGCGAACGGGUGAGUAAUACAUCGGAACGUGCCCAGUAGUGGGGGAUAGCUCGGCGAAAGCCGGAUUAAUACCGCAUACGACCUGAGGGUGAAAGCGGGGGAUCUUCGGACCUCGCGCUAUUGGAGCGGUCGAUGGCAGAUUAGCUAGUUGGUGGGGUAAAGGCCUACCAAGGCGACGAUCUGUAGCUGGUCUGAGAGGACGACCAGCCACACUGGGACUGAGACACGGCCCAGACUCCUACGGGAGGCAGCAGUGGGGAAUUUUGGACAAUGGGCGAAAGCCUGAUCCAGCAAUGCCGCGUGUGUGAUGAAGGCCUUCGGGUUGUAAAGCACUUUUGGCGGGAACGAAAAGGACUGUGCCAAUACCACGGUUCGAUGACGGUACCCGCAGAAUAAGCACCGGCUAACUACGUG
rnacentral:rRNA from 1 species